rnacentral:rRNA from 1 species
GGACUACCGGGGUAUCUAAUCCUCUUCGAUCCCCAAAAUUCCGUAGUUCGGCGUCAAUAUAACAUAGAGAACAGUCUACACCUUUGGCUUUCGUGCAAGUAUUUUAGUUUUUCACAACUACUCUUGCCAUUCUGUAAACCUCUGCCAUAUUCAAGAUUUAUUUAUUAAAAAUACUCGUCUAAAAAAGUCUUUUUAGCAUUUCAUAAAAAAUAAAUAAAACAGCCUACCUACGCUUUACACCUAAUAAAGAUGAAUAACGCUAGUACCAGUGGUAUUACCGCGGCUGCUGGCAC